rnacentral:misc_RNA from 1 species
UACAUCUCUCCUUUCGCUCCAACGGGGCAAUCGGCGUGAAGACGGGCUCGGGAAUGCAAUGCCCUCUGCCCCCUGGUCGGAAGUGACGUGCCACGGGCGCUGGGAAGGCGGAAAUCGCGUGUAGAGCGUGGCGGCCGUGAUGAAGGUGCCACGAAGAUACACAAUGUCAUCUGACUCAGAGGAAGAAAAUGGAGUCAGGCAUGAGAAGGAUGACAGUGAUGGGGGCAACUAUGAUGGCAGAUCAAGAUCCCACUCUAGGUCAGCAUCUCCAGGAGAUCAAAGGUCAAAUCGGCAAAAUAUGUCUGACAGAGAGGACUCAGUGGAGGGGAGGGAGAAUGGGAUGAGAGGGGAGUCAGAUACAGAAGAAAACAGAGGCCAAAAAGAGUCCAGUCACUCGAGGACUCCUGAGGAUAAGGAAAUGAUUGAGUGGAGUGGCGAGGCAGCAGAAAAGAGAUGCUCGCGCAGCAGAAGUGACGAAGCUGAGGAUAAAGUGGCAUCUCGUAGUCGUAGUAAGAGUAAGCAGAGGGAAGUAGACACCAGUAAAGAAAGGAAAUCUAGUUCGUCGUCGUCAAAAAAGAAAUCUCGAUCCAGAAGAUCUCGUUCACGGUCAAGGAGCAAGAAGCGAUCUCACUCUCGAAGUAGAAGAUCUCGCUCCAGAAGUCGUAAGAAAUCCAGAUCGAGGUCCCGAUCUCGUGGAUCAAGACGACGAUCACGAUCUCGGUCAAGAAGGCGUUCAAGAUCUCGAUCUAGAAGUGGAACGCCGGUAGAUGGAGCUCGUCUUCACGUAGCUGAGCUAGAUGUUGAUACACGCAAGAGGGACUUAGAGCGAGUGUUUGAGAAAUAUGGCAGACUGCGGGAGAUCUGGAUGGCUCGGAAUCCACCUUGCUUUGCGUUUGUGGUUUAUGCACAUCAGAAGGAUGCAGAUAGAGCACUUAAGGAAACUGAUGGAAUAAUGAUUGGCCACUGCCGCAUCAAGGUCACUCAAGCAAGGCCUCGUGUUCGUGGUGGACGCAUGAGAGGAGCUUAUGACCCAAAUCUGCGGUGUUACCAGUGUGGUGAACUAGGUCACUUUUCUAGAAAUUGCACAGACACCAAGUUUGGCUAUAAGCGACCCCCAACUCCACCAGGGAAAGUAUGUUUGGGAGCUGCCAGAUCUUGAAGACCUCCUCCUUUGUGGUUGUUGAUGAGAGUGUAGGAUGCAGAGUGUCCACGCGAAGAUAUUGCUUGUGAAAUUUAGUUCUGUUUGGGCCUGAGUUUCUGGAGGAGGUCGAGAACUGCUAGCACACCGGGGAUCAGGAAGAUAUCGGCACAGGUCCCGAUCAAGAUCCCGUUCUCGGCACCACAGCCGAUCAAGAUCCCGUUCUUGAGGAAUGGGUUCAGAAACUUGUAGAUGAAUGGGCUGUGGCCUCUGCUCGGCAGAGCCACUAAGUCCGACACAAGGAGAUACACAGGAGGUCAAGCAUUACCUUGGUUAAGAGAAAAAAUUCUCUUGCAGCUUUCCUGGUCAUAGCGUACCAGGAAUCCCUUAUGCUUAACACAUCCACUGGAAACAUUUGCUUUAUACUUCAGUGAUUCAGAAAUACAUUUAAGAAAGUACAGAUAUAUUCAGUUUUUGAAACAAUUUAGAUAAUCAGAUUUUUUUCUUUUCUUUUCUUUUUGUCAGACAUAUUUUCCUGCUUCUCAUUAAGAAAGAAAAACUUUAAAUUGUCUGCAUAGUUUUUUUUUGUACCUCCCAGAUGGCUGAUUACUUGCUAUGGUAUUCAACUGAGAGUUGGUUUAUGUUUUGUAAUGGAAUUUAUUUUGUCUUGAAUUGGUUUUCAAAUAUUAGAAAAGAAAUGCUCCUUUAUUCUUAGGGAGAGAAAGAUAGAAAAGAGAAAUUGCAUUUUUUUUUGAGGCAAUCAUCUUCAGUUUAUUAAAAAAAAAAAAAAAAAAAAAAAAAAAAAGAAUGUAGCAAAAGGAAAUGAAUAUAAGGGGGUUAGAAAGCAAUAUUGCAGGUGAUCAUCCUGCAAUAUGCCGUUGUGUUUAUUGGUCAUAUGUUAUAAAAAUAUAAUUUAAAGAGAGCAUCCAUAUGCAUAAGAUUUAUCAGUUAUUAUACAAUUAAACUUUAAAAAUUCCAACAGUUUGGCAUUAUACUUUGAAGAAUGCUAUAUAAUAUGAAUUUUUAUUUUGUGUUGCUAUUACUGAUUCAACAGUGAUUAAUAAUUUUUGGUGGUAAGUCAAAAUUGAAUAGACUUAGAAAAUUAUAGAUGUGAAUGAAUUUUGUGUGCGUGCAAAUUUGUUGUAGAGUGAAAAUAACUGAUGUAUUUUGGUUGUAUAAGUGUAGUAAUAAAUAUGAAAAUACAAAA